rnacentral:rRNA from 1 species
UACGGAGGAGGCAAGCGUUAUCCGGAAUUAUUGGGCGUAAAGCGUCCGCAGGUGGCACUUCAAGUCUGUCGUCAAAGACUGGGGCUUAACCCCGGAAAGGCGAUGGAAACUGAAGCGCUAGAGUGCGGUAGGGGUAGAGGGAAUUCCCGGUGUAGCGGUGAAAUGCGUAGAGAUCGGGAAGAACAUCGGUGGCGAAAGCGCUCUACUGGACCGCAACUGACACUCAGGGACGAAAGCUAGGGGAGCGAAUGGG